rnacentral:rRNA from 1 species
GAUGAACGCUGGCGGCGUGCCUAAUACAUGCAAGUCGAGCGAACGGACGAGAAGCUUGCUUUUCUGAUGUUAGCGGCGGACGGGUGAGUAACACGUGGAUAACCUACCUAUAAGACUGGGAUAACUUCGGGAAACCGGAGCUAAUACCGGAUAAUAUUUUGAACCGCAUGGUUCAAAAGUGAAAGACGGUCGUGCUGUAACUUCUAGAUGGAUCCGCGCUUCAUUAGCUAGUUGGUAAGGUAACGGCUUAUCAAGGCAACGAUGCAUAGCCGACCUGAGAGGGUGAUCGGCCACACUGGAACUGAGACACGGUCCAGACUCCUACGGGAGGCAGCAGUAGGGAAUCUUCCGCAAUGGGCGAAAGCCUGACGGAGCGACGCCGCGUGAGUGAUGAAGGUCUUCGGAUCGUAAAACUCUGUUAUUAGGGAAGAACAUAUGUGUAAGUAACUGUGCACAUCUUGACGGUACCUAAUCAGAAAGCCACGGCUAACUACAUG